rnacentral:snRNA from 1 species
GGAUGUGAAGGCGAUCUGACUGCAGUAUCUGUCACCUCACUGAUGGCCAGGGUUGAUUCAGAUGAUCUGGCUGGCUAGGCAGGUGACCCCUUCCUCCCUCACCGCUCCAUAUGUGUCCCUCCUGAAGCCACACACUUGGUCAAAAAGGACGACCAUCUACGAUAGAGGAGGACUGGUCUUGUUGGGUCAAGGGUAUACAAGUAGCUGUGCUUCCCUGCUAGAACCUCCAAACAAGCUCUCAAAGUAAUUAUGGCUGAAUUGCUUGGUUUCAAGUUAAUUUUAGUAAAAGGGCAAUCUGAAUAUAACCACUUAUACACCUUA